rnacentral:lncRNA from 1 species
GUGGGUGUUGGGGUUGGGGUCACCGUAGUGGUGGUGCUGAUGGGUAUCACGGUUGUACUCUUUGUGCUGGUGGGUGUUGGGGUUGGGGUCACCGUGGUGGUGGUGGUGAUGGGUGUCGGGGUUGGGGUCUGUGUGCCGGUGGGUGUUGGGGUUGGGGUCACCGUAGUGGUGGUGGUGAUGGGUGUCGAUGUUGGGGUCUGUGUGCCGGUGGGUGUUGGGGUUGGGGUCACCGUAGUGGUGGUGCUGAUGGGUGUCGAUGUUGGGGUCUGUGUGCCGGUGGGUGUUGGGGUUGGG